CCCGACUGGGUACCUCCGUUGAAGGAUGCUCCUAGCGCUUCCUGAGGACUCCAAGCACUGCAGCAGACACCACAACCACCGAAUCGGAGAAGCAUAUGAAUGCUCUCAAGCAUAUGAAUGUUGUAUACAGCCGAAUAGGAAAAACCAUGCGAAUAGGUUUACACGCCUAGCAGUCAAACUGGAACAGCAUACAAUAAAUCCUCCCCCAAUAAUGAGACGACACUUCACUUUGAGGGUUAAGCAGGAACUCCCUGUACUGUCACAUACAGUCUCUUUUAUUCCCAAUCCACAAACAUAGUACAGCCCACAGGGCGUUACAAAACAACAAAUCAAUCCGUACAAUACACCCAGACACUCCCACACAAAAUCCUCCCCUCUGCCUGUGAUAUGAUUACUGAACACAAUGGGUAAUCUCAUUAUCACCGGCAGAGGAUAAAGUUUUUACACAAUAUUUAUAACUUCUAAAAUAUACAUGUC